rnacentral:rRNA from 1 species
GGCGGCGUGCCUAACACAUGCAAGUCGAACGGAGAACUUAUGGAAUGCGACUUCGGUCAAAUGAAAUUGUCUUAGUGCGACGGGUGAGUAACGCGUGAGCAACCUGCCUCUGUAUUGAGGGAUAACGUUUGGAAACGGACGCUAAUACCUCAUGACACAACUGGGACGCAUGUUUUGGUUGUCAAAGAUUUAUUGUACAGAGAUGGGCUCGCGUCUGAUUACGGUAGUUGGUGAGGUUAACGGCCCACCAAGCCGACGAUCAGUAGCCGGACUGAGAGGUUGAACGGCCACAUUGGAACUGAGAUACGGUCCAGACUCCUACGGGAGGCAGCAGUGGGGAAUAUUGGGCAAUGGGGGAAACCCUGACCCAGCAACGCCGCGUGGAGGAAGAAGGUUUUCGGAUCGUAAACUCCUGUCCUCAGGGUAAGAGCAGAAGACGGUACCUGAGGAGGAAAGCCCCGGCUAACUACGUG